rnacentral:misc_RNA from 1 species
CAGAGUUCGUGCCCUUACGGGUAGAUCUCCCACCCUGUGUUAUCGUUACCUUUGUUGCUUUGGCGGGCCGCCCGGCCUCGGUCAGGCUACCGGCUCACGCUGGUAAGCGCCCGCCAGAGGACCCAAAACUCUGAAUGUUAGUGUCGUCUGAGUACUAUAUAAUAGUUA